rnacentral:rRNA from 1 species
CCCUUAGAUGUCCUGGGCCGCACGCGUGCUACACUGACACCUGCAACGAGUUAUUCCAGCUCCGAAAGGCAGUUGGUAAUCAGAAAUAGGUGUCGUGAUGGGGAUAGACCCUUGGAAUUAUGGAUCUUGAACGAGGAAUGCCUAGUAAGCGCACGUCAUUAGCGUGCGCUGAUUAAGUCCCUGCCCUUUGUACACACCGCCCGUCGCUCCUACCGAUUUCGAGUGGUCCGGUGAGGCUUUUGGAGAGUGAGCGUCCCUGAGGCGCUUGCUCGAAGUCAGCCAAAUCUUACUACUUAGAGGAAGGAUAAGUCGUAACA